AAUUGGGCAUAGGGCCAAAACAUUCAUAAAACUUCAAGCUAAGCGUAAAAUACCCUGUCAGAGGGACGCUAAUAUGCACAAAUUCAAAGAAACGUGCGCAAGUGUUUAUGUCCUGCACUUCGCUGUUUAUGCUAGUUAGCUCGAAGCUAAAGUAGCAGGAAAUGAUCGACAGCACCUCUGCUUUUGCGUCAUGGAAGCCUCCACCAGGAGCCAGGAACACCUGACGCUGAACGUCAGCGAUGCCUAACAGCAGUGAAGUACAUGUGGGAUGAGCAAUGGUUUGUCAGACUGAGGGAAGAACGGAGGUCUCCACUCUUUACUGGUUUAACCACAGCUCAGGUCUCAAAGCCGCCCGACCCAGUGGACCUGACCUGGUGCGCUAGCUCUACCUGAGGGCAGUCUGCCAACCAUGACUGUGUGAUGCAGAAAUUCAAUUCUUUAGCGCUGAUGUCAUUAGUUGAUUGAUUUUUACGCUGUGGAGAGACAUAAAAUGACACAUAAUGUAAAGUAUAGUCACACUGGUGCAGAUAUCAGGAAGGCAAAUGUCACAAAGGGUCAACAUGAACGACAUAAAAUAUGAAAUGAUCGUGAAAAUGCCUGUUCAUUUACUGUAUAUCCACCAUUUUGGAUUUGUCAGACAUUCGCUGUCUUUUUACGUAUAUGGAUUCUCUUUAUACGUCUAAUAAUUUUGCUAAAGCUAAGUGAACUGUAAGCAUUAAUAAAGGUGUAUUCAUAUAAUUGAAUGAGUCACUGUAUGUAGUUUACUUGUGGACGUGUCCAUUGACAAAAUCGCUGUUCAAGCUUGUUUUUUACUGUACUUUUUUAAUAGAAUAUAUUUCAUUUCUCCAAACUAAAUGUGUUUUUCCCGAAGGCAAACGCUCAGAAGUGUCCUAAGUAGUGACAACAAAAUGCAUUAGAGGCACUUAAUUAACUGUUGCUUUGAAUUGUGAAAGAAAAAAUAAAUGUUAUG